GCAGUGUGUUGCAUUCGGGCUGCUUUCAAAUUUUUUUCAGUUUCACGAGUACAGACUGAGGAACUACUGGCAGAAGGAUCUUGUAAAGUGUAAACAACAGGAAUUCUGCAGAUGCUGGAAAUUCAAGCAACAUACAUCAAAGUUGCUGGUGAACGCAGCAGGCCAGGCAGCAUCUCUAGGAAGAGGUGCAGUCGACGUUUCAGGCCGAGACCCUUCGUCAGGACUAACUGAAGGAAGAAUGUACCAUGGAGAGCAUUCAAACCGGCUACAUCACCCUCCGGUAUGCGGGGGAUCACAGCACAGGAUUGAAACAAGCUGCAGUUCAUUAUGGCCACCAGCCUCUGUAGUAUCCGGGACAUCUUCAAGGGGCGAUGCUUCAAAAAAGCAGCAUCCAUCAUUAAGGACAUGCCUUGUUCACAUUGCUACCAUCAGGAAGGAGCCUACUACACGCCCUUUCUUUAUCGAUGAUGUGGAUCUUUGCUGAAUUAUGAAAAUUUCUCAACCCUCUGGUUGUGGGGGAGGUUGUUUGUUUCUUUCUGCUACGUCAGUUUUAACUUCUUUCUAUACCGGAACUGAACUGCUCGUCCAUUUUUUUUUUGGCUUAAAGGCAUAUACAGGUUUCCCAGUUUACAAACAUAUGAGAGAACUGUGGUAUCAAGCUGCUGGCUGCUCUAGGCAUCCUCUGCUGUCUGGGAAUCUGGUUGGGGACUCCUUUUCCAGCUUUAAGUCAGAAUCAGAAUCAGGCUUAUUAUCACUGGGAUGCGUUGUGAAAUUUGUUAACUUAGGAGUUAUGAAUAGUUCACAGGUAUGGAACUCUUCCAUAACCUGGGGGCAACCUGUAUACUCCAAAUUAAGCCAUUUUAUGCUUUGAACUUCCUUUGCUUUGUUUGGAUUUAAUCUGUUUUCGAUUUGAACUAAAUAAUUAUGGAUGUUCAAAUAAAAUUCUGUCAUAAUAUAAUUCGUUUCCUAAAGGCCUCUUAUUUACCAGAACUUCAGUGAACUCUUUCACACUACACAAUACUAGAUCUAAAAUAGCCUUUCUUGGAUGAGUUCCUCUUCUCACUCUCUUCUCACUGCUGCCAUCAUGAAAAAGGCCCAGGAGCCUCAGGACUCUCACUACCAGGUUCAGGAACAGUUAUCACCCCUCAACCAUCAGGCUUUUGAACCAAAGGAGAUAACUUCACUCACCCCCAUCACUGAAAUGUUCCCACAAUCAAUGGACUCAAGGACUCUUCAUCUCAUGCUCUUGAUAUUUAAUGCUUAUUUAUUUAUUUAUUCAUUCAGUCAUUCACUCAUUCAUUCUUUUUAUAUUUGCACAGUUUAUUGUCUUCUGCAGUCUGGUUGAACGCCCUAGUUGGGGACUCUUUCGUUGAUUCUGUUAUGGUUAUUUUUCUAUGGAUUUAUUGAGUACAUCUACAAGAAAAUGUA